CUCGUAGUUGGAUUUCUGGCAGGAGUGACCGGUCACACACUCUGUGUGUGAACUCGCGUUGUCUCUGGCCAUCCUUGGGGAGAUCCUGUUUGGCAUUAAGUUGUCGGGCAGGGGAUACCCAUCGUUUACUGUGAAAAAAUUAGAGUGUUUAAAGCAGGCUUAUGCCGUUGAAUAUAUUAGCAUGGAAUAAUAAGAUAGGACUUCGGAACUAUUUUGUUGGUUUGCGUUACGAAGUAAUGAUUAAUAGGGACAGUUGGGGGUAUUCGUAUUUCGUUGUCAGAGGUGAAAUUCUUGGAUUUCCGAAAGACGAACUACUGCGAAAGCAUUUACCAA
rnacentral:rRNA from 1 species